CUACGUGCCAGCAGCCGCGGUAAUACGUAGGGCGCGAGCGUUGUCCGGAAUUAUUGGGCGUAAAGAGCUUGUAGGCGGUUUGUCGCGUCUGCUGUGAAAGGCCGGGGCUUAACUCCGUGUAUUGCAGUGGGUACGGGCAGACUAGAGUGCAGUAGGGGAGACUGGAAUUCCUGGUGUAGCGGUGGAAUGCGCAGAUAUCAGGAGGAACACCGAUGGCGAAGGCAGGUCUCUGGGCUGUAACUGACGCUGAGAAGCGAAAGCAUGGGGAGCGAACAGGAUUAGAUACCCUGGUAGUCCAUGCCGUAAACGUUGGGCACUAGGUGUGGGGGACAUUCCACGUUUUCCGCGCCGUAGCUAACGCAUUAAGUGCCCCGCCUGGGGAGUACGGCCGCAAGGCUAAAACUCAAAGAAAUUGACGGGGGCCCGCACAAGCGGCGGAGCAUGCGGAUUAAUUCGAUGCAACGCGAAGAACCUUACCAAGGCUU
rnacentral:rRNA from 1 species